UCUUAAGUUUGUCAUCUGCUAAUUACUUAGCAAUAUAAACUAAAAUGGAAAAGAUUUUCAGAAACAAAAGGAUCUAUUCAACCCGGCCCCUUCUGGAUUUAUUGUGUGCCUUCUGGGAACUAACAUUGGUAUCAGAGCAGGUUCUGAUACUAUAUUCUAAAGCUAACGCUUUAAGUCUGAUCCUAGGCACAAACCAUGUUCUAAACUUAGUUUAGUAGUAAGUCAGUUGUGAUUACAAAUGAGCUCACACGUUGGAAAUUAUACGUACAGGUAAAUGUGCAUAUUCACUUGAAGUUGCUCAGAUUGGUCCCUGUUCUAAAUUAAUGUAGCAACAAGAUCAAUCCAUGUCCCAAGUAAAUCAGCAGUCUGUAGACCAGUGAUGGGAAUUCAAAAGGCAUCAAAAGUAAAGAGUCUGUCAUCCACUGUUCUAAAAGAUGAAAGGCCUAUACAUGCAAUGAAAUGUCUAUCCAGAGAUGAAAGAAAAUUUCUUUCAAUAUGUACUUGGAUAAUCAAUUGGAUAUGAACCUUGAGACUCAAGAUUAUCAAAGAACUUAAGCUGCUAAGACUUUCCUAUAUUGUUAACUCCAAGAUGAUACCUGAUUGAUCUAAGGUCAAAUGGAGCAACAAGCUGUCAGCAAUGAAUGUAAAGAUUUGCACAUCAAUGCCUAACAUCAUUACAGCAAGACAAAUGACUGUCAAGAAACUGACAGUGUAAAGGUACGAUUCCUC
rnacentral:lncRNA from 1 species